GACGAACGCUGGCGGCGCGCUUAACACAUGCAAGUCGAGCGAAGCGGCGGACGGGUGAAUAACAGGUGAGUAACCUGCCUUAGACAUUGGGCAAGCCUCGGGAAACCGGGAUUAAUAACAAAUGGUCUAAGAUGGACUCGCGUCCCAUUAGCGAGUGGGUGAGGUAAUGGCCCACCCAGGCGACGAUGUGUAGCCGGCCUGAGAGGGGGAACGGCCACAUUUGAACGGAGAAACGGUCCAAACUCUACGGGAGGCAGCAGUGGUGAAGAUUGCACAAUGGAGGGAACUAUGAUGCAGCGACGCCGCGUAAACGAAGAAGGCUUGCGAGUCGUAAAGUUCUUUUAUAUGGGAAGCGGUACCAUAAUAAAAAGCCCCGGCUAACUACGUGCCAGCCGCCGCGGUAAUAC
rnacentral:rRNA from 1 species